rnacentral:rRNA from 1 species
AUUGAACGCUGGCGGCAGGCUUAACACAUGCAAGUCGAGCGGAGAUGAGGUGCUUGCACCUUAUCUUAGCGGCGGACGGGUGAGUAAUGCUUAGGAAUCUGCCUAUUAGUGGGGGACAACAUUCCGAAAGGAAUGCUAAUACCGCAUACGUCCUACGGGAGAAAGCAGGGGAUCUUCGGACCUUGCGCUAAUAGAUGAGCCUAAGUCGGAUUAGCUAGUUGGUGGGGUAAAGGCCUACCAAGGCGACGAUCUGUAGCGGGUCUGAGAGGAUGAUCCGCCACACUGGGACUGAGACACGGCCCAGACUCCUACGGGAGGCAGCAGUGGGGAAUAUUGGACAAUGGGCGGAAGCCUGAUCCAGCCAUGCCGCGUGUGUGAAGAAGGCCUUUUGGUUGUAAAGCACUUUAAGUGGGGAGGAGGCUCUCUUGGUUAAUACCUAAGAAGAGUGGACGUUACCCACAGAAUAAGCACCGGCUAACUCUGUGCCAGCCGCCGCCGUAAAAC